UCACAGUACAUGGAGGGAGAAGGAAAAGGUUGUAGUCAUCCACCCUCACUCUGCCAUGGGUCAUUAGUCUGGAUAUUCAGUACUUUAGUUUUAUGCAGUGUGUUUGAGUUAGUUGACACAGUUCCAUACAGUGUACUGUAGUCCCUGUGUUGUCAGUAAGUGCUUGUAUACAGUGAGGAUACAAACCACUUAUGACAGAGCUAACACAAUAACAACCAUGUCACUGUCCAAACACUAAUUAACAUGUUAUCAAAACACUUGCUGAAUGGAGGACGGUACCAAAUUUCCCCUCACACAAUAACAGCAUGCAGGUGGAACAUGUCUGUAUGCACAUGAAGUGAAUUUUCAAAACUGGAGGGAAGGGGAUCUGCAAAAAGGCUCUGUGGUCGGCAUGAAGCUGGACUCUCUGGUGACGGUGGCAGAGAUGAGGACACUGGACAAACUGCUGGAUAUUAUGGACAAUGCCAGCCACCCUCUGCACACCGUCAUCAGCAACCAGAGGAGCCUGUUCAGCGAGAGACUGCUCCUGCCCAAGUGUAGGACCAACAGACUGAAGAACUCCUUUGUCCACCAUGCCAUCACGCUCUACAACUCCUCACUUGGGAGGAGGAGAUAGGGUAGGGUAUGGAGCACAGAAGGGAGUGGUAGCCCCCCUUAAAGCGCAAUAACCCACCUGGACACUCAAGUAAUAUACAGUUCGGCAUAUUUAUAUUUAUUUAUGACAAUGCCAUACAGAGUCCAUUCACUUUUAAUUCUAUUCUAUUUAUAUUCUUUGCUAUUCUAUUUAUAUUCUGUGUCGUUUGCUAACUGUCCUGCAUGCUGCCCUGUCUUUCGCUCACAAACUGUUGUUGUACUGCCCUGUGUGAUGUGUUGUUUUCUGUCUGUAUUUGCUGCUGGAAAUGUAAUUUCCCCGAGGGAGUCAUCCCAAAGGGAUCAAUAAAGUCCGUCUAAGUCUAAGUCUAAGUUGUCAAGAAAGGUUGAGAUCUACCCACUCCCGACGCCAAAAGAAAGGAUCUAAUGCUAGAUUCUCCCCAUGGUAGUAAGAUACACAGUUUUGACUAAUCCUUUAAAAAUAUUAAUCAAUAUAAUGUGAAGCGUUGUAAUCAAUGUAUUGAAUGAAAUGAAUGGGAAAUCAUAUGAAAUUGUGAUUAAGCAAUGACAGGAUUGUGACAUGACUGGAAAGCAUCAGAUGGCCUGUUUGGUCUUAGCAAAAAGAGAAGUUGGUAAAGCAUUGUGAGGAAUGGUAUGAGGGUAUGAAAACCAUGAUUUGUGAUUUAAACAGUGAUAAUAAUGCAAAGAGUGAACGAUGAAGAAUGAUUGUACUAAUGGUAUUGUUGAAUAUGAUGAUUAAUUAUGAUAAUGGUAACUAAGAAUAAGAAUGAUUGAAGGAAGUGGUAUGUAGGAUGGGUGCGAUCACUAUUGGUAAAGACUUGAAGCCAGAAAGGAUUGCGACAUAACGGACAGCACCGGAUCUGAGAGAUUGCGACAGGGUUGCCGGAGCUGGCAUUGUCAAAAAUGGUUUGGUAAAGGAAGUCAGAGGGGGAGGGUUGGAGAGUUGGCCAAGACCAGAUAAAAGGUGAGAUACCAGACAAUUUAUUCAGACUCUUCGUUGACCAUCGGUGGAUCAUCACCUAAGGAAGACCCCUCCUCGGCCGUCGUCAAGAGAGCUGGAAUCAGCGAACUUUUCUUCAAUUCGAACGAAGGAAUCUGGGAGAUUAUUUGCUGUCAAGAAGACCCAAGGCAAGAGGAGUUUCACAAAGGAUUAUUAAUUUCCCCACUGCAGUGAAGGAAUUGUUCUCUGACGAUUUAACAAGUUCGCCAGGCCCAGAAAAAGGAACUGUGAGUUGGGCGAGGUCCUCCGGGGCUCUGUACGGAGUCAGGGGACUCACCCCUCUCAGGACCGGCCUGAAAAGAGGAAAGGUCAGCUAAGGCCAAGCUGCCAAUCCCUCCAGCUCUCUCACCAAAAUAUGCACCCAUCUCAGUGACCAGCUUCAGCAUUAAUUCAGGGAUCAUGCAGAAAAAUGUUCACCCACAACUUCGACAUGUUAAGACCACUCCAGUGACACACAUCACACUGCCAGAAGACAGGUGAAAAGAGAACAAGACCCUAGAGACGCAGAGACAUCGUGACUAUUGGUCCAGCUCAAAUGACCCAGGAUCAUAUAUUUCCCAGAACAGUGAUCAUAAUGAAUUCAUGGUUUGUUUGUUUGUAUGUUUGUUUGUUUGUUUUUAUCAGGAAAAGACACCAAACAUGCUGUGGUUUCAGUGAGUCCACUGUGAUGAUGCUGCUGUUCUCAGUGCAGCAGUAAACUGUUUAUUCUGGGCUUUUUACUGCAAAGUUAAUGAAGUAAUCAGAAAAAACAGGCUGGCAAAAUUAUCUUUACUCAAAGUCCUUACUUGUUUUUUCUGCAUAUACCAAUCUUUAGCAAUAAUGAAACAUGAUAAAACAAUAAAAAAUACAAUGAAGACAGUAGAUUUUUUUUCUGUUUUCUAGGUUAAGAGUGAAGCUGAUAUUUAUGAGUUAAUAAGUAAUGAAAAUAAUCAUUGGAUGCAUCCCUGCUUGUCUUCCUGAUGGAGGUUUGAACAGGGAAUUGACCAGCAGGGUCUCUCACAGGAAACUGUUUAUCCGAUGUGUUGUGACACAUCUCAUGUUCAGCCUGAAUAGCACCCUCAUUAAACAUGUGAUAUUUUC